rnacentral:rRNA from 1 species
AUUGAACGCUGGCGGCAUGCUUUACACAUGCAAGUCGAACGGCAGCGCGGGCUUCGGCCUGGCGGCGAGUGGCGAACGGGUGAGUAAUACAUCGGAACGUGCCCAGUAGUGGGGGAUAGCUCGGCGAAAGCCGGAUUAAUACCGCAUACGACCUGAGGGUGAAAGCGGGGGAUCUUCGGACCUCGCGCUAUUGUAGCGGCCGAUGGCAGAUUAGCUAGUUGGUGGGGUAAAGGCCUACCAAGGCGACGAUCUGUAGCUGGUCUGAGAGGACGACCAGCCACACUGGGACUGAGACACGGCCCAGACUCCUACGGGAGGCAGCAGUGGGGAAUUUUGGACAAUGGGCGAAAGCCUGAUCCAGCAAUGCCGCGUGUGUGAUGAGGGCCUUCGGGUUGUAAAGCACUUUUGGCGGGAACGAAAAGGACUGUGCCAAUACCACGGUUCGAUGACGGUACCCGCAGAAUAAGCACCGGCUAACUACGUG